rnacentral:misc_RNA from 1 species
CCACCCAUUGCACCCCCAGCAUCCCCACCCGAGAUUACUCCAAUGACUAGUAAUACUGGCAUCUCUAGCGGUAGCUCAUCAAUUCAAUCAUCAUCUACCACAAAGAAACAAGUUAUUGUGACAUCCCGUGCACCAAAUGUGGUCAAUAGGACGCCUCCAUCCCCGGGUCGUAAAGACAAGACAGUUUGUGCGGAGGUUAAAAACAAACAUAGCCGGGACGUUGCCGAUUCCUCCCUUCCCACUACCGGCGGAUUUGGACACGAGUGGGUGACAGUUAAAUCGGAGCCAGGGGACGAUCACGAGUUCGAAGCCUCUAUACUAACCACAAUAAAAAAAGAAAAGACUAGUGAAAGCGAAAGUGAAAGUGAAGAGGAAAGCCACGAGACGAAUAGAUCUAGUACAAGGCAAGGAACGCCACAGCUCCCCGCGCAUCCCGUCACUUCAGUCAACGCAGGGGAAACAGACACAGAGGAACGUAUCCGUCGACUGAGAGAGAGAAUGCGCGCGCAACAGGAAGAGUGUGAAAAUUUGAAAAAGUCUUUACUUAAUGAGAGUGAGGACGUCUCAUAACAGAAAGAAGUUUUGUGUUUUAUUAUUGUUAUAAAUAUUGUUUUAAAUAAAGUUAAAAUUUUAUCA